UUGCUCUUAUGAAGUUAGCGGCGGACGGGUGAGUAACACGUGGGUAACCUGCCCAUAAGACUGGGAUAACUCCGGGAAACCGGGGCUAAUACCGGAUAACAUUUUGAACCGCAUGGUUCGAAAUUGAAAGGCGGCUUCGGCUGUCACUUAUGGAUGGACCCGCGUCGCAUUAGCUAGUUGGUGAGGUAACGGCUCACCAAGGCAACGAUGCGUAGCCGACCUGAGAGGGUGAUCGGCCACACUGGGACUGAGACACGGCCCAGACUCCUACGGGAGGCAGCAGUAGGGAAUCUUCCGCAAUGGACGAAAGUCUGACGGAGCAACGCCGCGUGAGUGAUGAAGGCUUUCGGGUCGUAAAACUCUGUUGUUAGGGAAGAACAAGUGCUAGUUGAAUAAGCUGGGCCUU
rnacentral:rRNA from 1 species